AUUGAACGCUGGCGGCAGGCCUAACACAUGCAAGUCGAGCGGAAACGAGAAGUAGCUUGCUACUUCGGCGUCGAGCGGCGGACGGGUGAGUAAUGCCUAGGAAAUUGCCUUGAUGUGGGGGAUAACUAUUGGAAACGAUAGCUAAUACCGCAUAAUGUCUACGGACCAAAGAGGGGGACCUUCGGGCCUCUCGCUUCAGGAUAUGCCCAGGUGGGAUUAGCUAGUUGGUGAGGUAAUGGCUCACCAAGGCGACGAUCCCUAGCUGGUCUGAGAGGAUGAUCAGCCACACUGGAACUGAGACACGGUCCAGACUCCUACGGGAGGCAGCAGUGGGGAAUAUUGCACAAUGGGCGCAAGCCUGAUGCAGCCAUGCCGCGUGUAUGAAGAAGGCCUCGGUUGUAAGUAC
rnacentral:rRNA from 1 species